CCUGGUUGAUCCUGCCAGUAUCUCAUCUCUUAGUUAAAAGAUUAAUCCAUGCAUGUGUUUGGCACAGUUAUAGUGCCUGCAGAUGGCUCAUUAAAACAAAGAUAACUUAACCUGUAUUAUAUUCGGAUAACUUUGCUAAUUGUGAGGCUAAUACGUGAUAAAAAGUAUUAUGCUACUCCCGUUCUAGAAUUACGAGUUAAGGAACAUAGCGAGAGUUUUAGACAUGCUCUAGUCAGGGAAGGUCUUUGAUCUAUCAGCUACAGACGGUUAUGUAUUGGAUAACCGUGGCAUUGACGGAUAACGGGGAAUUAGGGUUUGGUUCCGGAGAGAGCGCAUGAGAAAUUGCGCUUACAGCUAAGGUUGGCAGCAGGAGCGAAAACUUUUCGAAUGAGCAAUGCUUGAAAAGGUGACGAACUGUAUUAACAUCAGCUACAAGUUGGUGAUUGAAAUGAGAAGUAUAUAAAUGAUACUCCGAGUAACUAGUUCAGGGCAAGUCUGGUGCCAGCAGCCGCGGUAAUACCAGCUGAGCUAGGGAUGGGUAAUUUUGUUGCAGUAAAAACAUUCGUAGUCACUGUUAAAUUUUAUUUCUUAAAAUCAUUAAGAAACAUAAAUUUUAAAAUACACUCUCCGCGAUUAAAUUAGAACGAUCAAUUUGCAUGGUGAAUACUAAAGCGUGGGAAAUCUGAAGAUAC
rnacentral:rRNA from 1 species